UACGGGGGGGGCAAGCGUUGUUCGGAAUUACUGGGCGUAAAGGGCUCGUAGGUGGCCAACUAAGUCAGACGUGAAAUCCCUCGGCUUAACCUGGGAACUGCGUCUGAUACUGGAUGGCUCGAGUUUGGGAGAGGGAUGCGGAAUUCCAGGUGUAGCGGUGAAAUGCGUAGAUAUCUGGAGGAACACCGGUGGCGAAGGCGGCAUCCUGGACCAAUUCUGACGCUGAGGAGCGAAAGCCAGGGGAGCAAACGGG
rnacentral:rRNA from 1 species